rnacentral:snRNA from 1 species
AGCUGCGCGGUGAGCACAAAGCGAACUAUUCUUUCGCCUUUUACUAAAUAAUACCGUGUGCUCGACGCAAUAGCAGCAUACGCUAAUUUUUGGAGGGAUCUUCUUCGAGGUGCC